UGCGGAAAGGGCGCCGGGGCCACAAGGGGGGCGGGGCUUCGUGUCGGGGGCGGAGCCCUAGGAUCCGGUGGAGGACGCUCCGCGCUGGGCCUGGCCGUCGAGGUCUCGGACCGUGGCUCACGGACGUAGGAACACGAGAAAAAGAGACAUGGUUCCCGUCGAACAGAGAAAAGCCUGAAGUCCCACCCUGAGAGACCUGGCCUGAGAAGAACUCAGAAGUCCUGCUGUGAGGAAAAAGGGCUGGAAGGUGGGGCUCUGAGUCUGGGCGACUGAAGAUCUGGUUUAGGAUCCCUGCUCAGACACAGUUAGCUCCAUGUCGACCUUGGUCCCAUCACUUCACUUCUCUAAGCCUUAAUUUUGUCAUCUUUGAAAUGGGCAGUCAUAAUAAUCCCUACCUCACAGGGCUUGUGUCAAGAUUAAAUCAAUGUGAAAACACAUUGUAAACUGUA